UACGUAGGGAGCAAGCGUUGUCCGGAAUCAUUGGGCGUAAAGCGCGCGUAGGCGGCCCCGUAAGUCCGCUGUGAAAGUCAAAGGCUCAACCUUUGAAAGCCGGUGGAUACUGUGGGGCUAGAGUCCGGAAGAGGCGAGUGGAAUUCCUGGUGUAGCGGUGGAAUGCGCAGAUAUCAGGAAGAACACCCGUGGCUAAGGCGGCUCUCUAGUACGGUACUGACGCUGAGACGCGAAAAGCGUGGGGAGCGAACAGG
rnacentral:rRNA from 1 species